GACCCUGUGGUGUAAUGGUAGCACAACUGGUUUUGGUCCAGUUAGUCUAGGUUCGAGUCCUGGCAGGGUUGCCA
rnacentral:tRNA from 1 species